CGCGCCCCGGCGCCCCCUCGCCCGCCCCGGAAUUCCCCGCAGGGCGCCCUUGGAAGCGGCCCUCCCCCACGCCGGCCGUUGUCCCAGGACCUCGUCACCCCCUUCGGCGUGCGCCCCUCGCUUCUCCCUCCUGGCCCCGCCCCCUCGCCGUUGCCCGGCCCCGCCCCCUGGCCGCUCGCGCCCCCUCGGUCUCGCGUUCCCUCCCGUUCCCCCGCACCUGCCCCCUCGCAUCUCCGUCCUGGCCCCGCCCCUCUCAUUUCCAUUCAUGGCCACGCCCCUUGCAUCUCCUUCCCUGGCCCCGCCCCUCGCUUCUCUUUUCCUGGCCCCGCCCCUUGCAUCUCCUUCCAGGCCCUUUCCCCUCACCUCUCCCCGGCUCGGCCCCUUGCCUCUCGCUUCCCUUCCUCUCCCUAGCACCUGACCCCUCGCUUCUCCCCCCAGGCCCCGCCCCCUUGCCUUUCACCUCCAUCCCUGUGGUCCUUUCUCUUCCCCACCUUUCCUCCCCAAACCUGACCCCGCCCAUCUCUCUGGCCCCACCCCCUCGCUCCUCUCUGCUCCCGCCUCCUAACUUUCUGUCCCCGCCCCCUCGCUUCUCCCUGCGUCCAGCUCCCUCGCUUCUCUCUGGUCCCGCCUCCUCACUUCUUUCCUAGCCUGGGCCCUCACUUCUUCCUGGUCCCGCCUCCUCACUUCUUUCCUAGCAUCGGCCCUCACUUCUUCCUGGUCCCGCCCCCUUGCUUCUCUCCUUUUUUUCUCCUCCGCCGUUUUUACCCCCUCCCUCCUUCUCCUCGCUUCCCAUCCUCUCCGCCCACCUGCCCCCUCGCUUUUCCCUCCUGGCCUUGCCUCUGUUCCCCUGGUCCCAUCCCUCACUUCUCACCACUUUCCCAUCAUCUCUCUUGCUUUCCUGUUUUCCCUCCCACCUGCUCCCUCCCCUCAUCCUCCUGGUCUUUCCCACCACUUCCAAGCUAUUUUGCUACCUCCCCUUCCACUUGCCCCCUUGCUUCUCCCCUCCUGCCCCCACCCACCCUCUUCUCACUCCCCCAUCCUCUUUCGUUUCUCCCUCACCCCCCCACACCGUCCUCCUCCCUUCUUCCCCUAGCCCCGCCCCUCACUUUCAAGCCCCGCCCUCAUUCCUGCCUAGCCCCGCCCCCUCGCUGCUGUCUGGCGAGGCCUCCACCCUUUCUUUCCUUCAGCCUGAAAUUCCUCAAUCCUAUCUUGUAGCUGCUCCCAGUCCUGCUCUCUUCACUUCCCCCUGGUCCAGCCCUCUUCAGUCUCAGUCUGGGCCACUUCCUGUCUCUUAGGCCAGACCGCUAGCUACUUUUAACUCUGCUUCUUCAAUUUUUACCUUUUCUGCAUUUUGUUUCACCAUCACCCCCACACUCAGCAACCCAGAGCGCCGUGAGGCUCUGAUCCCUACUCCCACACUCACUGGAGGCUUUGGAAGCUGCCCACACGCAGGCUCCUUGAUUCAUUUUGUCUUCAAUGAAAAGUCCGUGUUUCCUGGGUGGCUCUGUAGUGCCACCUUCAAGGGUGAGCGCAACGCUCUGCCGCGGGCCUGCGACUUGGUGGCGCGGAUGUGAUGCCAACCUGUUUCCCCCCGGGCUCCAGAGGUUCUGGACCAGGCUGCAUCCUCGUCUUCCCUUUCUCACUCUCAUUGGUACUACUCUCUUUCCAGUUUCAAUUCAUCCCUAAAGCAGGAUGGCCGUGUUGCAAAUGCGGCUCUGCUCCGGGACUUUCCAAACUCGAAUAUUUCCAGCUCUGGAAGGAAACUAAAAAGUUCAUUCUAAUCCCCGUCAGGGAUUUUCCCCUGGAUUUUUCUGUUCAGUGGCUCAGUCGGGUGAGAACUCCAAAGUCCUGGUUUGGUCAGGUCCUUUCAAAGAGAGAAUGAGCGUUUUGAACACUUUAUGGCAGAUGCGCAGCCAUAAAGUCAUCGGUAAAAUCCAUGCAAACAAUAGGUAAUUUUUUUAAACUAAAAUUUACUUUGAGAGCCCAUAGUUGUUGCAUGGCCCAACUUUUGUCUUAAGAGAAGGUUUUGUUUUUUUGUAUAAAGAUAUCAAAUAAUGAUUUGGACCCAAACCCAGACCCUGGUUUUGUAACGUAGGAGGUAGUUUCCUCUGGGAUCUUUGCUUCUGGGGAAAUACAUUUCUUUAUGCCAGGGCUGAUAGGAAACGCUUCUCACUUUGUAGAUACAAUGUAGAUACAUUUUUAUUUAUGUGGUAAGAUAAAAGUAACAUUUUUGAGAUUGUAAUACUUGUAAAGCUUUUAACUUGGUUCUGAUUUACAGCUCAGUCUGUAAUUGACAUCAGAUUGGUUUCAGUUAUCUUGUUAAAAGCGAAAGCAACUGAUUUUGUGUUAGAAAUAUGAUGAAUGUUUUAGAAGGAAUAGGUUUUAAUUGAAAUGUUUAUGUCUGGUGUAUGUAUAUUAAUCAAUCCUAUUUGCCAAGCCUGAGCCUUGAAAGGGAGGACUUGGUUUCUCCUCCUACCAAAUUAUUUUUGGAUUUAGGAAUUUAGAUUAUCGAAGCAAGAAUGCUUUGAGGAAUUUUUGGAUGACAUUUGAUAGGGAAGGAUCAGGUGAUGAGUGUUGUUUCUGAAACACCUUUUCCCUUUCCCUUUCCCUUUCAGUAGAUGUUAUGAAUGGUUUGAGAGGAUUUGUGAGUGUGAUCAUCCUUACAAUAGGAUUGCGGUUUAGCGGUAAUGGUACACAUGCAAUGCCAGUACGUGGAACCUUAGUUUACCUCGAAAGGUUUGAACUAGAAGUUUGUUGACGGUGGAAUAGGUUUUAGUCUCAUCUUUCUGGUUAAGGGAAGUUUGAAUUCUCACUUCUGGGAUGUUGAGAAGCAAUCUUUCAAAAUUUGAAUACUUUUGUUACAGGUUUCAGAGUUUAUUUCCAUGUUUGUUAUUUGGAAAAAAAAAAAAGACUGUUAAAAAUGAGGGAUAUUUCAACCAGUCAAUGAAUAGACACAGAGCGAAAUUCAGUGCAAAGAUAGUGAAGAUGGCCUGGCGCCGUGGCUCACGCCUGAAUCCCAGCACUUUGGGAGGCUGAGGCAGAUCACGAGGUCAGGAGGUUGAGACCAUCCUGGCUAACACGGUGAAACCCCGUCUCUACUAGAAAUACAAAAAAUUAGCUGGGCGCGGUGGCUCACACCUGUAAUCUCAGCACUUUGGGAGGCUGAGGUGGGGCGGAUCACGAGGUCAGGAGAUUGAGACCAUCCUGACUAACACAGUGAAACCUCGUCUCUAGUAGAAAUACAAAAAAUUAGCUGGGUGUGGUGGCGGGCGCCUGUAGUCCCAGCUACUGGGUAGGCUGAGGCAGGAGAAUGGCUUGAACCUGGGAGGUGGAGCUUGCAGUGAACCGAGAUUGUGCCACUGCACUUCAGCCUGGGCAACAGAGUGAGACUCUGUCUCAAAAAAAAAAAAAAAAAAAAAAAGGAUACUGAAGAUACUACAUUUAGAACUUUGGGGUCCACGAUUCUAUUUGGGGGUGAAUAGGGCAUUAGAUUUACAGUUAGGAGACCUAGAUUCUAGACAGAUUUCUCAUUAACUACAUGUUACGGAACAAGUUAUUUAACCUUUUUGGGUCUCAGUUUCUUUAUAUAUCAAAUGAGAUUUCAGCUCCAUUAUAAUACUCUUUGAUCCUCCUUCUCACAGGAUAUAUCAAUUUAGCUACCUACUUAUUUCAAAUUACUGUUGGGCACUUGGGCUUAGUGGUAUUCUUAAUCCUGAUAUUCAGAAAAUUGUGUUGGAGUGUAGCACAUGUGUUUGAUUUAUGCCAAGCAUUAAUUUUGUGUAUUGAUUACAUUUAUGACUUUAUUUCUUCAUGUGGGAUUGUUUUUGAAAACUGUUGGGUAAUAUGUUGAACUGCUUUGGCAACCUGGUCUAAACAGUAGAAGAAUAUUUGAGCCUUUGUAUUUAAAAUAAUAACAUUUUAACGAAUGUUUUUGUGGUAUUUUAGUAGGAAAAUAGUUUUUAAAUGGUUUCAGUAGGUUUAGGGGCAUAAUAUAUCCAGAAUCAAGUGAUCUUUUGUUAAAGAGCAUUAUCUUGUAGUCAUUGGAGUUCACUGGCAAAUCAAACACUUUAGAAACAUUUUGAUUGAAAAAUCAAGCAGGAUUUGCAAAAACUUUGUUCUUAUCUGGUACACAAAUGAAUCCCAGACACAUUGUUUAGGCCACUUUGGGUAAAAGAAUGGAAUUCAGGGUUCUACAAUGCUCUUCAAGAAAAUUAAAUUUUAUUGUAAUGUCAACCAAUUAGUUGAAAUACAAGUGCCUAAACUUUUUUGUGCUUUUAUGCAUUGAAAUACUCUCAGAUAUCCUGGUGUUUUUAUAUCUUUUGGAGCAUGACUGCAUAUUGUGAAGUAAGAAAAACUCUAAUUCCAAACAGAGAGGAACAAAGAGACUUUCCUUGAUAGCAUGUGGAAAUAUGAGGUUGUUUUUAAAAUUGUAGCUUGUGGGAUGUAAGGGUGACUUGUGUUUUGGCAUUCAGAUGGUGCAACUGUGAGUGAAAUAGUUGUGGUAAUAGCUGUUGAUGAUGUUGGUUGAUGAAUUACAGGUGUCUCAAUUGAUUCAAAAUAGUUAAGUCUCUCAAGAAAGAUUAAGAAAAUUGUUAAGACUGUUGACUUUGUCAAUUUGUACCAGCUAAGAACCUCACUUAUGUGAGGCAGGCAAAACUUUUGUUUCAAAAACCAUAUAACACAGUUGCUGUGAUAAGAUGGAAUAAGUGGUCAGUUUUUAGCUCCCUUUGCAUUUACAUUUUCCUUAGGGUCUGCCUCAAGUUUAGGAAGAUACAGUUAAGGCAGUUCUUUGAGAUGAAUUAUUGGAAGGUGUAGGAUGGGUUAGAACAAAUGCUGUUGCAAAACUUGAAUUGCAAUUAUACUUUAAGAAGAAUCACAUUCUGCCAAAUAGAGGUUUUUGUCAUUGAUUUUGUGAUUUGAUCACAUUUGUGUUGCCUUUUAGAACAACUUUCUUUUUUCAAAUCCAUUUUUUUUUCCUUUUAAUCUUCUUGGCCCACCCAACUGACUUUAGACAUGAAAUCUUUCAUAUGCUUUAUUUCUAUCUCCAUUUUUACAGUAGUUGUGAUUUAUCAAACUAGGAUUUUUAACUUCAAGUCCAUCUGUCAGAGUUUAAAACCUCUAGUCUUGCAGUUACAAAAGUCCUUUCUGAAUGUUGGGUUUUUCUUUCUCUUCCACACAUUUUCAUUUUCUCGGUUCAGUCACAAUGUCAGGUUCUAGUGUGGAAAAUUGGGUGAAAGAAAGGUUUUGGAGGCUGUGUUAUUUAUGAAAUAUUUCCUCAUGGAUUAAGAAAGAAAAAAAGACAAAACGACAAAUAGUGUUUCAAUAUCACCUCAGUGAUCCAGUUAACUAGACUGGCUGUUUUGUACAACAUCGUGGGCACUGGUUAACAGUUAAAAUAGCUGAAUUGUGCGUUUUAUUCAGUGGUUCAAAAAAGCCUCAAAUGGAUGAAAUAACUUGAUAUCUUCGCCAUGCUCUGAUUUGCUGGGUAAGACAGCUAACUUUUAGGAUGCUUAUUUGGAUCAAUUUUUUAUAAUUUCAAAACCAUUUUAGAGGCUAAUUUUUUUUUAAACAAGGAAUAUACAAUUUUUUUUUUUUGUCACUGAACAAGUUUUAAAUUACUGGUUUGUUAUUUUGUAAGUGAAUUUGUAAGUGAAAGCCUCCAACUUAAAUUAGCUUCUUGUCCAGGGAACUCAUUCUGACUGACUAAAGUCCCUAAGGCCUUUCUAGUUAAAGGAAAGCCAUGGAGCUAUGUUUAAAAAACAAAAGCACAUAGCUAUGGGGCUUGGGCAUAUCUUCUUUUUAAAAUGUCACUAUUACUGUUUUGUCUCCAGAUGCAAUUUAAUCCAUUUAGAUAUUUAAACCAAGUGGAAUGUUGUUUCCACAUUUCUGGACUAAUGGGGGAAAAAACACCCUCAUAUUGUUUUAAAACAAGGCUUAAAUAAUGUAUAAUCAGCGCGUCUGGUGACGCGCCCCACUCUGUAAUUCCAGCUGUGUUCACCUCCACUGCAGCUGAAAGGAAUUCUAAUUGGCUGAGGAAUGUCGGCAACAUCGUUUAUCACUGAGCAGGAACCUAUCCUCCUGGCUGCUGGGUGAUGCAUUUCAGAUGUUUUAAGCUCCGGAGCCCAACUUGCAGCUUGCUUUCAGGAGUCUGGAGGAGCAUGUCACGAAGCUGCAGAUUGUAGAUGGCAGCCUGCGUUCUUUGUAUGUUGGGCAUCCGCUGAGUUCUCUAAAGGGCAUGAUGCUUUCCUGUGGUUCCAACACUGGACUGGGGAUCAGAAGGUCUGAAUUUGAUUUCUAAUUCACACAAGUACCACAAUGAAGAAAGGGGAGGGGGUGCAUAGGAUUAUGAUCUUUUCAUGAUUCAGUUUUCCUAUCUUUAAUGCCAGAGAUCUGUCUUUUUAGAGCACAAAAGGACCUGCUAGAGAUGGAUUAAAUAUUUUAAUGAGUAGUUAUGAAUUAUUUAUAGAGUAGCACAGUAUUAAUACAGUCAUAGAUUCCUGUUAUGUCUUAUUCCUAAAUAGCCAGGUAAAUAAUAAAGCUAAUAACGUACUUUGACAUUGAAGAAAAUCUAUAGAACCGGUUAAUAAACAUGGAAAAAUAAUACAAUGAAUUGAUAAAUUAUGUAUUCAGAAAUUCCUUAGAGAAAUAGUGUUAGAAGCCAAAACCAGUAUUAUCUUUAUUUUUAUUUUAUGUUUUUCCCAGGCCAGGUAAUGUGCCAUCGGACAGUAUCAUGUUUAUUUUUUGUUUUGUUUGGAGAUGGGGUCUCACUCUGUUACCCAGACUGGGGUGCAGUGGCACCAUAACAGCUCACUGCAGCCUCGACUUCUUGGGCUCCAGUGAUCCUCCCACCUCAGCCUCCCGAGUAGCUGAGACCACAGGCAUGUGCCACCACGGCUGGCUAAUCAUUGUAGUUUUGGUAGAGAUGGGGUUUCGCCCUGUUGCCCGGCUGGUCUUGAAUUCCUGAGCUCAAGCAAUCCACCUGCCUCAGCCUCCCAAAGUACGUGGAUUACAGGCAUGAGCCACUGCACCUAGCCAGCAUCAUCUUUAAAUGAUGAAAUUGUGGAAACAUUCCCAUUAAAAUCAGGAACAAUGCAGGGAUGUACACUGUCAAAAUAGUUAUUAUUAAUAACUAGAGAAAGACAUCAGAAAGCAGGAAACAAAAUUGCUGUUAUUUAUAGACGUUAUGAUAUAUCUUUAAAAGCCCAAAAGAUCAGCUGAAAAACACUUAUAAACAAUAAAAAACUUUAGCUGGAUGGAAAAUUUCUCCAUGGCAAAAAAUAGGAUAAAAUCAACAUGCAAAGACAAACUAGGAACAACAAUCUGUAAUGGAUACGAAAAUGAAAGUCUGGUUUUCCUAAUAUAUAAAGAGCCUUCAAAAUCAAUUAGGAAAAGGCCAGUACCUAAUAGGCAAAGAAUAUGGACAAUUCACAGAAAAGAAAAUGGAAAUGGAUUUGAAACAUGUGAAAAGACAACCCUAUUUUCUCUCUUCUUCUUUCCUUUUCUUCUUUAGAGAUGGGGUCUUGCUCUGUCGCCCAGGCUAGGCUAGAGUACACUGGCGUGAUCAUAGCUCACUGCAGCCUGGAACUCCUGGGCUCAAGCGAUCAUCAGCUUCCUGAGUAGCUGGGACUGCAAGUAUAUGCCGCUGUGCCCUGUUCUCUCUUAUGCCCAUUUUCUUUCUCUAAAAAUUUAUUUUUAAUUGAUAAUCAGCCCUAUUCAUACUAAACAAACUACAAAUUAAAAGUAAGAAUGAAACAAUUUUUCAUCUAGAAGAGUGGCAGAUCAAAGAGAUUGAAAAUCUUCUGUGAUGAGACAAGAGUGUGGAAAAACAGGUCUUUUACUCUAGUGGUUGAGAAUAUAAAUUGAUAGAGUAGGUACCAAGAGCAGUUUGGCACUGUCUAUCAGAUCAUAAAUGUUUAUGCUCUUUGAUCUAGCAAUUCUGCAUGUAGGACUUUUUUCUUAUGGGUGUUUUCACACAUUUAUGUAAAGUCCGGUGUGUAAAAUCAUUGCAGCAUUGUUUGAAAUUAUAAAAGACUGAAAUCAAUGUGAAUGUGUAUCAGCAGGGACUAGUUAAGUAAAUUAUCGUGUAUUCCCAAUGAUGUGUAGCUGUAACAUAAUAAGAUAGUGUUUUAUAUUCUGAUAUGGAACAUUCUCCAAGAUAUAUUAUUGAGUGGGGGGAAAAAGCAUGAUUCAAAACAGAGGCUAGUGUGUGUACUAUUUGAAUAAUAAAACAAGAAAUAAAAAUAAAGGGGGAAAUCUAUAGAUAGGUCUGUAUAGAAUACGACUGAAAGAUUUUGACUGUUGAUUUCCUUUGAAGAGAUUCUCCUGUUCUCCUCUUCAGAGGAAAGAGAGAGGAGAGAGGGAGAGAGGAGAGAAAAGAGAGAAGAGAGGGUGACUUUUCAUUAUAUGCCUUUUGUAAUAUUUAAUCUCCUCCCUUUUCUCACCCCCUUGAGCAUGUAUUGCUUUUCAACAAUUAAAAAGAUUAAAAAGCUCUUAAAUAGAUAAGAAUUUCUUAGAGCAACUAGUAAGUACACUAACUGCCAAUUGUUUUGAAAUGUAGACAUUCUGAAAAAUCAAAAUGAUUGUGCCGAAUGUAUUUUAAAAGGCUAAAAUAUUAUAGCAUUUCAAAGUACAUACUCAUAUUUAUAAGGACUUCCUCACUAGGAAGAUUCCUGGGUUCUACAGAAUAAAAUUCUUGGCUACUUGUCUUAUAGCUCUGAACAGACUUAUUUUCCCAGAGAGUAUGUUUAUUAUGUAAUAGCGAGUUGCCUGACCCCCCAAAAAGCUUGUUCUAUCAUAUUAAAAUAAGGCAAAAUGAUUACUUUCAGAUUAAGAAAUUUGGACUCUAGAUCUUGUUUAUAUAGUGAGUUCUUUAAAAAACUGAGGUCUUGGUUCUGAAUAAUAGUGGUUUACAUAAUUUAUUUAGAAUGUCAUUUGGGGUUAUCUCUGACCUAUUUUUAUAAAAUAAUCUCAUCUUUAAAAUAGGAGUAAAAUGCUCAUUUGCAUAAGCCAGUAAUAAUAAUUUAGUAUUUUUCCAAGUAUUUAUAGUCAAUGUGUUUGCCAUGAACUUUUUUAAGGGAUUGUUUUUAAUUUUAGAAGUGCUUUAAAAAGCAAUAUUGGCAUCUGGCUCUGUAGAAGUAGAAAACAUGGUAACUUCAAUGUGAUAUAUUUGCUUUUUUCCCCUCUUAGGUCUUUGGGGUAAAAAAAAUCCAAAGUUUACUCAAUUUUAUUUCUACAUAUAUUACCUACAAAUUAUAGAGGUGAGACCUGCUUGCUGCCUGUUCAUACCUGUCAGUGAUACUAAUACCUCCCGUCUGUACAGUGUUUCAUAGUUUCCAAAGGGUUCUCGCGUGGUUCCUCACUUGAGCCUGGUGAGGAAAUACCUGUAAACAUGGGUAGAAGUUUUAGUCCCUUGUAAAACUCUGGUAUAAUAUCAAAACCAGGAAAUUGUUCACAGAUUCUAAGGAUUGGGGAAAAGAGAAAAAUAAACAAAUUGCUCAGGAGUAGAAUUUGCAAAAAAAAACGAAACAAAACCAAAAAACUCUGGAAAUAAGGCACGUUUAGCCUUACAGAGCGAGACCCUGUCUCAAAAAAAAAAAAAAAAAAAAGUGGGUGGAGAAGCACUUUUCCUGAUCUAGAUCAAGAAAUAGAAUAUUGCUGGUGCUUGGAAUGUCCCUACAAUCCUGAAAAUAGCUCAUUCUCACUUUCUACCUCCCUCAGCCGCACCCCCCUGGCAAAGAUAACCACAGUCCUGACUUGUAACAGCCUGUUUUUGAACUUUGUAUUAAUGGAAUCUUACUGCAUGCAACUGGUUUCUUUUGUUCAAUGUUAUUUUUGUGAGAUUUAUCCGUAUUGUUAUGUGUGGUUGUACGUCAGUCAUUCUCUUUGCUGUUCAAUAUCCCAUUAUGGGCAUAUACCAUAAUUUAUCCCUUUAUCUGUUGAUGGGCAGAGUCCUUUCUAGUUUUGGCUUUUAAGACUAGUGCUGUUUGGAAUUUUCAGGUAUAUGUCUUUUGGUGAGUAUUUGCAUACACUUCUGUUGGGUGUAUACUCAGGAGUAGAGUCACUGGACUGUGGAAUAGGCAUAUGUUCAACUGUAAUGAAACUUGCCAAAUGCUUUUCCGAAGUGGUUAUACCAAUUUACAUUUUCCACCAGUGGCGUAUGAGAGUUCCAGGUGCUCCUUUGCCAAUCUGCGUGUUUUCUUUUUCAUUUUAACCCUUUCCUUGAGUGUGGAUUGGUGUCACAUAUUGUGGUUCUACUUUCUUUUUUCUCUAAUCUAUACCUUAAAUGGCAGCCUUAGAGACCUUUUUUUUUUCUUUUUUAAUUUUGAAGUAAUGAUAGAUUCACAGGAGAUGGGAGAGAAAUGUACCGGGAGGUCCUGUGUACCCUUCACUCAGCCUCCCCCAAUUUUAGUGUUUUGUAUAACUGUGGCAUGUCAAAACCAGGAACUUGUUCAUGGGUUCUAACGAUAGGGAAAAAGUAAGGGCAAAAUAAUGCAAGCAAAAAGACCCGGGAAACUAACUGUUUACAUUGGUGCAAUCCAGAGCUUAGUCAGAUUUCACUAGCUCCGCGUGCACUGCGUGUGGGUGGGGUGUGUGUGUGUGUAGCAGUCUAUGCAGUUUGAUCCCAUGUACAAAUUCAUAUCACCACCAUUGCAAUCAAGAUGACCAGCUGCACCACCACCCCAGCCUCCUUGGAGCUAUCCCUUUCUAGCCGCAUCCACCCAUCCCCAGUCCCUGGGACCCUGGCAACCACUAAACUGUCACCCCCAAAUCUUUUAAGAGCAUAAAUCAGAUCAUGUCAUUUCCUUCCUUAAAGCCCUCCAGCAGCUCCCUACUCAGAAUAAAAUCAAACUCCCUCUGUGAUCCUGCCAUAUUCCUCUCUGGCAGCCUCUGUGCCAGGUUCUGCCUUAUUCUCCACCCCAGUCCUCAAAUGUGGCGAGUUUAAUCCUGCUUAAGGGCUUUUGCAUGAAUUAUUCCUCUGUGUGUGUGUGUGUGUGUGUGUGUGUCCGUGUGUCUGUGUGAUGUUAUAAUACUCUUCCUCUUGACUUCUCAAUGGCUUCUUCCUGUCAUUCAGGCCUUCAGCCUAAAUAAAUAUCAUCACCUCAGGGAUACCCUCCCUGACCAUCCCUUCAUAGUCCCUCCCUCACUCACGAUCAGGCAGCCUAUUCUGCUGUCUUCAUAGCACUCACCACUUCAUGGUAUUUUUGUUUGGUUAUUCUCCCAUCAUCCAUCUACCAAUGUCCAAUCAAUUUUUAUUUUCUGUCUCUGCUCUUGGUAGUCAAGUUCCGUGAAGCUAGGGUCCUUGCUGUCUGUUUACUUCUGUAUCCCCUUCAACACUGCUUGGCACCUGCUGGUGCUCACAAAUACCUGGUGAAUGAGAGAAUUAAUGCCCUCCUUGUUUAUUGGGUCUCCUGGUCGCCUCUGAGUUGGGCGUCGGAGGACACCUCUCCUGGAGGCAGCAUUGCGUUCAUAGCCACUUCUUGUUGAUAUGAGCAGGGAUUAGAGAUCAAGCAAUUACAGGUUGUUGUCAGCCAGGCUUGGGGUUUCUUUGACUAUGUGAUACCCUAAAAGGCAAGUCUACUCUAUCUUGGGCUUCUGGGCCAUUCCAGGGGCUUGAACCAAAGCCCGAAAUUUUAAUUCUGGAAUUUGGCCCAGCUUUGUAGCUUUUGGUUUCCAGGUCUUUUCCUUAGCCUCUCCCUCAGGGCUGGCGGGGAUAACUGGUUGGGCUGGAGAGACAUCAUUCAUUUGCCCCUUGCCCAAGCUUUGCGGUUGCAUCUUGAAUAACGUUUCCCAUUUUCAGGCUGUGAAUACUGGACCUGAGUGCUUGGGAGAGACCUGGGGAAGCCUUCUUUUGCUCACCCUACCCCACAGCCUUAUCUCCUGCUAAGUCUUCCCUCCCUUUCUUUCUUCAUCCUAUCUCUUGGUUCCCCUAGAUUGCAUUUUGUAGCAGAAAGGGCCUCUUUUCCUCCCUCUUCACUGCAUUUUCUUUGAGACAGGAUCUUGUUCUGUCGCCCAGGCUGGAGUACAAUGGCACAGUCAUAGCCCACUGCAGCCUCAAACUCCUGGGCUCAAGUCAUCCCCACCUCAGCAUGAGCCACCAUGCCCAGCUAAUUUUUAAACUUUUUGUAGAGACAGGGUCUCACUAUAUUGCCCAGGCUUGUCCAGAACUCCUGGCUUCAAGCGAUCCUCCCAUCUUGGUCUCCCAAAGUACUAGGAUUACAGGCAAGAACCACCCACCUACCCAUUUCCUUGAUUCUUUCCUACCAAGUCCCUUAGUGUUCCUUGUAGUCUUGGUGGUUGCAUCAGACCACAGUCUGAUUGUUUCUUUCCCUGAUAAUAAAGAUAGUUAAAUUCUCAGGCCGGGUGAGGAGGGUAUUCAUUGAUUUUUCACCCUGCCUCCUUUCUUCAGCUAAUUUCCACAUUUUUAAUUCUGUCUUUUAUGUACAAUAUCGCACUUCCUAAUGUUGUUGUUGUUUAAAAGCAGGAUACCUUCAGAUGUAAGUAGCAGAAAACCUAGGUUAAAUUAGCUCAAUAGAGAGAAUUUUAGUGACUUCACUGAAAAGCCCAAGUCAUUCCAAUGGCAAAGCAAGGACCUGGUUUCUCUCUAUAUCUCAGUGUUUUGACCUCAGCACUAUUCAUGACCAUCUCUUCCCCUUGUGCUCAAAAGCUCCAUGGCUGUUUGCUUGCAGCUUUAAAUCCAGCAGAAAAGUUAAAAGUCUGCUUCUUCAACAGCUCAGUCCUGGGGUAGAAGGCCUGGAGUUGAAUCCUCUUGUCUCAUUGGCCUAAUUUGGGUCAAGUGUUCAUUGCUGAACCAACCGCUGUGGCUGGGAUGAUGGGAUGUGCUCGUUGGACAAUUAGGUUCCAUCUUUGAAUCUAAUCAGGGGGUUAGUCCCACCCACAAUACAGACUUGGGUUGUUUGGGGGAACAGGAAUAUGGAUGCCAGGUGGGCAAUCAAUAAAUAACUAGAUGAUACCGAUUGUUUUCUUUUAAAAUUUAUAAUGUUAGCUUCAUUAUGCUGAGUAAAAGGAAGGUACAGCUACCAUUUAAUGCACUUCUGAAAAAGAAGUAUACCUUCUUUGUGGUAGUAUGAAGCAAAAGAUUUGGUAAAAGUGCCAAGAAUUUUUGACCAAGGGUUAGGAGUGGUACCUUUAUAUGUGAACUUAGCCCCAUAAAUUUUGUUGUCAAUUUGUAUUGCAGAAUGUUCCUGGAUUGUUGUAUAAUGUUAUUUGGGACUUUUUGUUUUUCUUUUUGGAGACGGAGUUUCACUUUUGUCACCCAGGCUGGAGUGCAGUGGUGUGAUCUUAGCUCACUGCAAUCUCUGCCUUCUGGGUUCAAGUGAUUCUCCUGCCUCAGCCUCCCAAGUAGCUGGAACUACAGGCAUGUGCCACUGCGCCUGGCUAAUUUUUUGUAUUUUUAGUAGAGAUAGGUUUCACCAUGUUGGCCAGGCUGGCCUUGAACUCUUGACCUCAGCUGAUUGGCCCGCCUCAGCCUCCCAAAGUGCUGGGAUUACAGGUGUGAGCCACUAUGCCCAGCCUAUUUGGGAGUAUUUUUAAACAAAAUUCAGGUACAGAUUAUAGGAAUACAUUCUUAAAUUAUUUCUCUAGAGAUAACAGAGCAGUUUUAAGAGAGAGAAAUACAUGCUGAUUAUCUGUAAAUUGAAUUCAGGAUGUGUAGAAAGAAAAAUAAUUUAGUUUUUAUGCAAUAAUAUGAUUUUUAUAGGAUAGUUGAUUAUCAGCCCUACCCUAUAAUAAAUUCUUUGAAUUAAUGUCUGUUCUUGAUAUCUGGGGCUCUGUAUUUUCACUUCUAUAUUCUUAAAAAGAAAAAAAGUUUUUGUAAGAUGCUUCGCUGAAGUUCGAACCUGUGUUCCAGGAAUGGUUGAAUCCCACAGACCGCCAAGCUCUUCCGUUUGUGGAAUCAGCAAGGUGGAAUGAUGAAGGGCUCGGCUGGAGCCAGCCUGUGCCUUUACACAAAUGACAUCAUUUCUUAGUUUCCUUAGCUAUAAAAAUGGGGGAAGGCUGGGUACAGUGGCUCACACCCGUAAUCCCAAUAUUUGGGGAGGUUGAGGUGGAAGGAUCACUUGAGCCCAGGAGUUUGAGACCAGCUGGGGCAACACAGCAAGACCCUAUCUAUACAAAAAUAGAAAAAAAUUAGCUGGGCAUAGUGGUGCACACCUGUAGUCCCAGCUACUUGGGAGCUGAGGUGGGAGAAUUGUUUGAGCUCAAGAGGUUGAGGCUACAAUGAGCUGUGAUUGUGCCACUGCACUCUAGCCUGGGUGACAGGGUGAGACCAUCUUAAAAUAAUAACAUAACGUAAAAAUGGGGAAAUAACUGGAAUCACUUCAGUGUUGUUGUGGGUAGUAAAUGAAAUAAUCCACAUGCACUGUCUGGUACAUAAUGUGUUCAAUAUGUGUUAGCUAAUAGUAACAUGGUCUUAUUUCAAUGAAUCUAAGAUGACCGCUUGCAAGUCAUACCAUUGUUUUAUGUACUACGUAAAAAGAAACACAGGUAAUUAUAUUGCAAAAUGUGAUUCAUUUGAAGAUUUCAAAACAUAUGAAAAAAUGUGUCUUGAAAUCAAUGAUAUAUGGUUUUAGGGCUGCCUCUGACUUGGAAGUCCUGGGAAUUGUUUGCAUACUCAUAAAUAUACACCAUCUGUCUUGGUUUAAACAUAAUAGAGUAUGAUCUAAAGUUUCUUUUCAAUUUUGUUUUUGUUCUAAACUUAACAUUGAAUUUGGCCUCGUGUUGCAACACUAGAAAUUUAAUAAUCACUCAUUUAUUCUGUAGGCUUAAAUAAUGGAUUAUAUAACACCUAAGAUUGGCUUGGCAACUUCGGUUAUUUACUUUUCUUCAGUGAUUUAGAAAAAAUAUGAGACAUGUUUUUGGACAUCGUUGCUAUUGCUUGAAUAAACCUGUUUGGGAGGUAAAGGCAGGUUAAAUGGUAGUGCCGGUAACCUCUUAGAGUAGCACGAACUAUUGGCAGAAAGCCUGCUUAGGUAAACACCUUUGAUACACCCAGCACAUUCAGUUUAGAAAGUACAAUAUUGAUAUUUGAAAGCAAUGCGUGGUAGUUGAUUUUCCACUAAAAUUUAAAUGUGGACAGGGUAUUAUAGAGCUUGAAUGAUAGUCACAGGCUAUUUAAGGACCAACUUGUAGAGUAAAAAGUUGCUAUGUAAUACGCUUAGCAUAAAUUUAGAAGUAAAACCUGCAAGGAUAGCAUAUAGCCUUGUGAGAAUGCCAUUUCCCUUAGGAGCCUGGUAUUUAGAAUGUUAUGAAUGGGAUAUUUAUUAUAAGCCUGUUUUUUUUGUAAAGGCUUGCUUUUUGAUAUUAAUAUUGAAAUGAAUUACGGAAGCCGUUUUGGGGACUUGACCUGUUUACUGACUGCGUCAUUCAUGGCUUAACCUCAUCAGCCAAAUGUCAGCAGGAUUCUGCUUUUAAGACAACCACAUGAGAACAGAUGAGCCAUUCGGUCAUCUUGUCAUAAGCCCCAGAGGCUAUCUCCUGGCACAUCUGGCAUGUGAUGUAUUUAAGUAUUAUUUGAGGGUGUUGAGUAUAAUUUUGUAAAAGACUGUACCCUGGUACAUUCCAUAUCUUAAUGCAUUCUGAAACAGCGAUAUUAUUUUUUUUUGGAAACCCCAGAGGGUUUAUUUACUGUAUUUUGCAUAGGGUUCAUCUGAACAGUACAAAAAGUACCUUUUUAUUUUAGAAAAGGAGUUUUGGUUUAGAAAAUGGAACCUGAAUUGAAAUAAAAGUAAAAUUAUUCUCAAAAGGAGACAGUUUAUCGAUUUAAGUACAUUUCGUAUCGCCUAUGUAGUAGCGUUGUUUAUAUUUAGAAUAGACGCAAGCCAGUCCACGAUCUCUCAGCAAGACUUGACAAAAGGAUAUGAUUUUGUCACAGUUACUCCCAGUGUUUCAUUUCAAGCAGUAUGAGUCAAGGAUUUGGUGUUUCUCAUACUAGAAUAAAUUGGACUUUAUUCAGGAAAAAAACCCAACUUGUUAAUUUGAAGUGCAUGUCUCAAAGCCUAAACAUUAUUUUAGUUAGUAUUUCUAAGUAGAUAAUACAUACAUAUGGUAUAAAAGGGUGAUUGUGAAAAAUAUGCCUCCUUUCCCCUCUGUCCCUUGUUAACCAGCUUGCCUCCAGAGAAAGAGCUGUUCUUUUUUUUAAUUUUAUUUUAAAUUUUUUUUAGAGAUGGGGUCUUGCUAUGUUGACCAGGCUGGUUUUGAACUCCUGGCCUCAAGUGAUCCUCCCAUCUCGGCCUUCCAAACUGCUAGGAUUACAGCCGUGAGCCACCAGGCCCGGCCGAGCUUUUCUUACCAUGGUAUUCUUGUGUUCUUCCAGAGAUUUUUUUAAAAUGCCUCUUCCUUUUCUCACUCCCUCCCUCUUUUUCUUUUAACACAGAUGGGAGCAUUGUGUGUGCAUUGUUGUAUACUUGCUUUUUGCACAUACGGAUCAGGGAUUUCUCUGUUUCCUUACCUCCUGAUCUGCCUGCGUGGCAGGAACAUUCACUAUGCAAUGACUAUCCCUGUGCUCGUCAACGUUCCCGUGUGACCUUGCAGUUAGGUGGGACCAUGUAACUACUUCUGGCUAGCAAACUGUGAGAAGUGAGUUGUCCCACUUCGGGGCUGAAGCACUAGGAACCUCCAGCUCUGCCACAGAAGCUGUGUGUCAUGUGGUGGAGCCUCUAUCAGCCUAGAUCCCUGAGUGAUUACGUGAAGCCGAAGCUGGCCCUUCCCCCCGGCCCCUGCUCAGACCCAACCUAUGCUGAACACGUAGUUGAGCAAGAAAUAAACUUCUGUUAUGUUAAUUUGUUUCUACAUCACACAGCUCCUCUUGAUAUAGCUGAUUUCUUUUUAAUAGCUGUGAAAUUCAUAACACUUUGAAUGAACCCAGUUCAGAUGAUCAAAUGCUUAAGAACAAAAAAGCAUCUAAUUAAAGAAUAAUAACUUUAAAUAUACAAAUAUCAGAUCAAUGCAUCUUAUCCCAAUGUGUUGCCACGCAAAUAUCUGUAUACAUAAUUUCUAAUUAAACUUUUUAAUUUUUUUAAAUUUAUUUUUCUGAGAUGGCGUCUCGCUCUGUCGCCCAGGCUGGAGUGCAAUGGCGCAAUCUCAGCUCACUGCAACCUCCAUCUCCUGGGUUCAAGCAAUUCUCCUGCCUCAACCUCCGAGUAGCUGGGACUACAGGCACAUGCCACCACGCCCGGCUGAUCUUUACAUUUUUAAUAGAGACAGGGUUUCACCAUGUUGGCCAGGCUGGUCUCGAACAUCUGACCUCGUGAUCCGCCUGCCUCAGCCAACCAAAGUGCUGGGAUUACAGGCGUGAACCACUGCACCCAGCCCAGCCCAUAAUUAAAAAAAAAAAAAAAGGAAUAUAUGCUUAUUGAAAAGUAUAAAGAAGAAAUAAGUACUUUAUUAUUUGAAAUGAGGCUUGAUUCUUUAAUAUUAAGGCUUAUAAUUUUUGCAUUAGAAUUUGAUAUUAAUUUUCUCGUCAUUCUAAAGGAAGAUAAAUACCAACGCCAUACAUGCUCGCUGUUCUCAUUGAAUACUACAGUCAAUAGAGAGGAGUAUUGAAAAAGACUGUCUCUACCAGAAACUUAACAGCCAUAGGGAAAUGGUACAUUCGCUAGAAACAGUUAAGUAACAAUACAAAGCGCCCCUGAGUCUAGUUGCUGGGGAGGCCAAAUGUGAACUGGCUCUAGAAAGAUCUGGGUGGGCUGAGAGACCAUGUGGUAAUAGCAUAAGCGAAGACAGAGUGGACAUGAGUCUGGCUGCUUUGCAGGUCAGACGGACAGAAGAGGUGCCAGGCAGGUAGAGGGAAGAGAGGACACUUGGCUUCUGUAGAAGUCGUGAGUUGUCGGGGAGAUUGGAUCAGGAAAUGAGAUGAUAAAUUGUAAUUUUAUAGGCCUGCUGGGUAGAAAGUAGGGACUUUUCCUUUCAUGCCCUGAGGAUAGCAUGGGAUCCAGGGACUGGAGUAGCAUGGUAACUAAGGGCCAGGUGCUGGAGGCAAGUGGCCUGGGUUCCAGUCCUGGCUUUGCCACCUUCUAGCCGUGGAAAGUGCCAGCAGGGUGCACGGGUAAGUGUAUAGGUAAUGUGAGCUGUGAUGAUGACUGCUGUUGUGCUACUUGGGAAGGAACCUGGUGACACAGAGCGACACCUAAUGAGGGAAUAGAUUAGGCCCCAUUCACAAAGUGUGUUACUGUGUUUACACAAAUGCUGGAUGAUAGUCUUUCUAGGAUGUUUCAUAAGCACUCCUUUAUUGGGCCCAAAGUUUAGACUAAGUGCUUUACAAAGGUUCUUUAAAACAAAAACAAAAACAGAAACAUUUAUUGGCUGGGCACAGUGGCUCAUGCCUGUAAUCCCAGCACUGUGGGAGGCCAAGGUGGGAGGAUGGCUUGAACCCAGGAGCUCAAGACCAGCUGGGGCAACAUAGUGAGAACCUCCCAUCUUUUAAAAAAACAAAAACAAAAAAUUAGCCAGGCAUGGUGGUGCAUGCUUGUAGUUCCAGCUACUUGGGAGGCUGAGGCAGGAGGAUCUCUUGAACCCAGGAGUUUGAGGCUGCAGUGAGCCAUGAUGGUGCUUCUGAACUCCAGCCUGGACAACAGAGUAAGACCCUGUCUCGAAUGAAUGAAUGAAUGAAUGAAUGAAUGAAUGAAUGAAAAUUUUUAUUGAAUAACUACUAUGCUCUAGGUUGUCUGGCAAGUGGAGUACUGGAUAUAAUAAACAGGGUAGAGACCAGAGGAAGUAAAUACUGUUUAUCCAUUCUGUACAUGGUUACUAAGUUAAUGUCAGGUUUCUAUUUGGCCCUUGAAAAACCACUCCAAGUAGGUGAGAAGUGUCUGUAAGUAAGUUAAAUUUUUGUAUGAUGACGGAUGUCUUGAUAAAGCGCAGUGGCAUUCAGAGGGAAGUUUAGUUGGCCCUGCCCUGGAUGUCCUUGCUUUAGUAUCUUGCUGCUUUAUUGUAACAUGCUUUCUUAAAACCUUCUUAGAAGUACUAGUUGGAUCCCAACUGUGGCUCCUCCAGUCAAUGGUAAGUUAGUAUUUGUGUAGUGACUUUUUUUUUUUUCCUUUUUGACACUGGACCUACUUCCAUUUACAGUCAGAUACUGCUUAAAACCUUUUUGUGGGCAAAGUAGGUCAAACCUAAAGUGCACAGAAGGGAACUGUUCAGGUAGAGAGGCAGAUUCUGUAGAAGCGCCUGUCCCGUUUUCCCUUCCCUGCCGUUGGAUCACUUUUGCUAGAGCUGUGCAGCCUUCAUGCCCAAAGCUUGGAGUCUCUCCAAAAGUAUUCUAGAAUGAGAUUCUGCCAAGUGCUAGCAUUAAAGCUUCAGUAUUGGGACUUUGGAGUGCCCCUUCUGCCCUUUGGCCUUUUUAAAUGGAAACUGGGCGAGGCUGGUAAGCUAUACCUUACUAUUCUAAGGUGACCACCACUUGGAGUGUGGGUUUAAGACUGCUGCCAACCUGGAUUUCCAGUACAGCUCUGCUGCUUGCUAGUGGGGUGACUUUGGACAAUAAUAAUAAAGCUAUUUGUCAAUUAUUGAAGCUCUUUACUAUUUGCCAGGCAGCAAUGAGGCCAAGCACUUUUCAUGAGUUGUAUUUCCUCCUCUUGAUAAACUCACAAGAUAGGUCGUAUUCUUGUCCCUAUUUUUGAGACGGUGAGAUGCAAUGGAGUCAGCCAACCCAGUUCCACCACAUACCAGUAGCCUUGGCCAAAUCAUGUGCUUCAUCUUUAAGCCUCAGACAAGACCUACCCCAUCAGGUUGUUGUUGCAAGGAACAAGUGAAGUAACCUGGCACCCAGCUGUUGCCCAGCACAUGUUAGGGGCUGACUUGCCUAAGGCUGCACUGAGAGUAUUUUGCAAGUGGACUAAAGUUGAACUGCUUUGGGAAGAUAUUUGGCUUCUUACUUUGUAAGUUGGAGUAAAGAUUGUUUCUAAAUCUAGUUCUUUUCCUUUUUGUCUCUAGAUUAAACUCUUACUAUAUCAUUCAGUUAGGAGCUCUCAUGUUUAGCCAACGUUCUCAGAAAGUGAUCAGUUCAAGGGCUGUGGCAUGGAGGGGAAGUGAUGCAAGCUUUAUUAUGAUACAGAUGAGUAACCAUAUAAAAUGGAAAAUAAUAUUUGUUCUCCCCACAUUCCCAUCCCCUCUUACCAACCUAAUAUUUAUCUAUCUAUCUAUUUUGAAAUAUUUGAGGCAGAGUCUCUCUCUGUCACCCAGGCUAGAGUGCAGCGGUGCAAUCAUAGCUCACUAUAGCCUCAACCUCCUGGGCUCAAGCAGAUCCUCCCACGUUGGCCUCCUGAGUAGCUGGGACUACAGGUGUGCACUACCAUGCCCGGCUAAUUGUUUAAUUUUUUAUAGAGACAGGGUCUCACAAUGUUGCCCAGGCUGGUCUCGAACUCCUGGUCUCUAGUGAUCCUCUCAGCCUCCCAAAGUGCUGGAAUUACAGGCGUAAGCCACCACGCCCUGGCCAUAAUAUUUAUUUUUUUAUUGCCAUUUAUAACUUGGCUUACACUGCUACUGGCUAUUUACUAAAAAUCAGAGCAAACUUUGCCUUAUUAUUAUGUAUUGCAUAUAUAUUUUUGAAAGGUCACUCUUGCAGUUUUACUAAAAAAAAAAUAAAUAAAAGUUUCAGUGAAUUCCGGAAGUUUGGGAAUUCUCGGUUUACGCUAGCCCUGUCCUGUGUUUCUGUUUGGCUCUGUCCUCAGGCCUUGCCACCAUUUUCUCUCGGUGAAAGAACUUGGCUUCACAUUCUGUUCAGUUUCAUGAACCUGCCUGUCACUUUGAGGCAGCGUUUGGGAUUCUGCUUCAUUAGCCUUUGAACUCAUGAACCAAGUUGAGAGGAUUUGCUACUAUAGACAAUUAUUUGAUCUUCGAGAUAUUUUGAACAGUUCCCAAGUGCAACACCAGUGGUUGUCCAAAAGACACAGAGAAGUGAUGUGAAAUUUUAAUUAUGUAAAAAAAAAAAAAAAAAAAAAAAAGAAAGAAAGAAAAAAGCCCUGUGGCAUGGUUGAUGUCAGUGCUAUGGAGUGAGCCUUUUAGUAGUGCGGUCAAGGACACUACUUUUUUUUUUUUUUUUUUUUGACACGGAAUCUCGCUCUGUCACCCAGGCUGGAGUGCAAUGGUGCCAUCUUGACUCACUGCAACAUCUGCCUCCCAGGUUCAAGCAAUUCUUCUGCCUCAGCCUCCCAAGUAGCUGGGAUUACAGGCGCCCGCCACCACACCUGGCUAAUUUUGUAUUUUUUAGUAGAGAUGAGGUUUCAUCAUGUUGGCCAGGCUGGUCUUGAACUCCUGACCUUGGGUGAUCCACCUGCCUUGGCCUCCCAAAGUGCUGAGAUUACAGGUGUGAGCCACUGCGCCCGGCCUUUUUUUUUCUUCUUCUUCUUCUUUUUUUUUUUUGAGACAGAGUCUCACUCUAUUGCCCAGGCUGGAGUGCGGUGGCCCGAUCUCGGCUUACUGCAACCUCUGCCUCCCGGGUUCAAGCGAUUCUCCUGCCUCAGCCUCCUGAGUAACUGGGAUCACAGGCAUGCGCCACCAUGCCCAGAUAAUUUUGUAUUUUUAGUAGAGAUGGGGUUUCACCAUGUUGCCCAGGCUGGCCUCGAACUCUUGACCUCAGAUGAUCCACCAGCCUCAGCCUCCCAAAGUGCUGGGAUUACAGGCGUGAGCCACCUGCCCGGCCUAACAUUUCAAAAUGCUAAAAACAGGUUCUUGUAGUCUUUUCCUUGGGUCCAGCAUCGUUUGUUGCUGACUAUAUCAAGCAGCUACCAAGAUGGCGCAGUGAAGGUGAUGCGCAGUGGAGACUGUUCCCCUCGCCGCUCCCUGGUUCCUGCAGAGAGUCCUGUUGGCAGCUCGUUGGAACAAUGGUUUUCCCCUGGAGUUUGAGGAGCUUGUCUUGGGUGUGGUGCAUCCCUACACCAUGUGUACAGUUUCCAGACUGCUAUGAUUUUAUCUCUCAGCAAUGCGCCAAGAGGUUUUAGUGAAAAUUUAAAAACCGCCAAAUCGCCUAUCAAACCGAGUUUGAAAAGAGACCUCUUGGGAAAGGACAAGCUAACUAUUCUAAGUGGUCUACGAUCCAAAGCAUUUCCUGGGCUGAGUGUUUAUCAAAGCUGAGCUUUACUUCCAAACUAAGCUUGGGAAGGAUCUGGGAGUGUUUCCCAGCUGACUGGGGGCGGGGAGAAGAGGAGGAUGCGAGUGUUAAAGAACAGAGAAAAUAUCACUCUCUUUUCUUUUACACAGUUAUCUGCUGAAAUCUGUCUAUAGAUAUGGCUUGCAAACUAGGUGUUGUUUUGGAGGAGAGAGAGGAUAGGUCUGCUAAGUGUUAAUUUAGAAAUUAUAUACAAUAUCUUAAUUUUAUUUUGGGAAUGGAACAUUGGGUAAGAUUAGCUUUUAAAUGGAUCAGCUUUACUCUUCAAGGUUAGAAAAAUGCAUAGAAAAUAGCAUUAUUUCCCUGUUAAUUGUCAUUAAUCUCAACUCACACUAUUUUUUUUUUUUUUUUUUUUUUGCUUUGACUCUUACCAUCUCAGAAUUCAAGGUCUAAAUUGACAUAUUUGGGAAGAGCAGGGUGUUGGGGAAACAGAACUGCUGAGAAGCUGCCAUUGAUGGUGAAAGACUUUAAUCUAAAUUUAGAUUCUCUUCAGAGGUUUCGUGGAAUACUUCCUUAAAUUAAGCCACAGACUGCAAAAGCUGCUGCUGAGUGGGGCUUCCAGGUUUGUUUUUUUUUUUUUUCAGCUCUAGAAAUAAAGAAGACAGGGCAGGAAGGACUGGCUCUCACUCUCGGCUUCUUUGGGAGAUUCUGCCAUUGUAGACAGAAUCAGUAGCAGCUUCUGUCAUGAAUUUAAAACUCAGGAGAGAGGAUUUGGUGGUAAUCUGAUGGAAGUGGAAAACAAUCACGACUCUGAGGGAGUGUGGGUGAAACAAGUUGCUUUGUUUAGGUUGUGUUGGAGACUGUAGGUAGUAAUAGACAAUGAUAGGACAUCUUUUUGUCUGAUGCCUGUAAGUGUACCUGGAGACUUUGAAGCCAUACUUGUUAGUUCAUUCCUGCAUUACUAUAAAGAAAUACCUGAGACUGAGUAAUUUACAAAGAAAAGAGGUUUGAUUGGCUCACGGUCCUGCAGGCUGUACACAAAGCAUGGUGUUGGCAUCUGCUUAGCUUCUGGGGAGGCCUCAGGAAGUUUCCAAUCAUAGCGGAAGACAGAGAGCAGGCAUCACAUGGUGAGGGAAGGGGUGAGGUGCCAGGCUCCUUAAACAACCAGAUCUCAUGGGAACUACCAGGGCAAGAACUGACUCAUUACCAUGGGGAUGGCACCAACCCAUUCAUGAGGGGUCUGUGCCCAUGACCCAAUAUCUCCCAGUAAGCCCCAUCUCCAGCACUGGAGGUCACAUUUCAGUAUGAGAUUUGGAGAGGACACAUAUCCAAACCGUAUCACCAUGAGUUAAACCAAUACAUCAAAUUUUUAGGGACAGUUGGAAGAUCUUCAGAGUCAAGACAAAAGAGUUGAAAAUGGGGUGUUGGACUAUAACCAUGAGUAUUUUAUACAAUCUCUCUUUCUCCUUGAAUCAUAGAAAUGGUGUUUGAAAGCUCCUUUCAAUAUAGAGAACCCCCUUACCUGUCAGUGCCCAAAGGCCCCCAACUGGGGAGAUCUGAAGUGAGAGGAGGAAGCUGCCCAGGUUUUCCUGUCCCUGGAGAGCCAUGGGUCCUGAGGAUUGGAGCUUAUCAUUGAGCAGGCUGUUGUCACAUACACAGCCUUCCAGCUUCUAUUAUGAUGCAUUGUACUGUUUAUAUAAUCUUGUAUUUGGGAAAUGCCUAAUUAUAUUUUUUAAAAUUACUCCAAUAUCUGUCACUGUUAGAUAAACACUUCUAGAAUCUCA